AUAAAAGACCAAAAUUUUGCUCAUGAGGUAAUAGGGCACGAGAUCAUUCAGUGCUUCAGAGUUCAAUAGUAGUAUUUUAUAAUCAAUAUGAAAAUUGAUUGGGAGCCAAUGCAGUGUGGAUAAGAUAGAGGUGAUGUGGUCAUAUCGUCUGGUUCUAGUAAGGACUCUCGCUGCUGCAUUCUGGACUAACUGGAUUAUGCAUUACAGUAAUCCAACCUAGAGUGCGCACAAACAUUUCAGUACGGAACGAGACCUAAGCGCACAUGGUUGUGGCGUCCAAAGUUCACUAAAGGAUUAGAGGGAUUUAGCUCCUGGUUUGAAUGGAGAACAAGCUCUUACGUUGAUUCUCACCGAGUUACGGCUGCAUUCUACGUCUUAUGGCGUCCAACGAUGAUCUGGCUUUCAAAUAAAGUGUGGGAAUCAUCAGUCGGAGGGUCUAUCCUUUUUUAAGCCAGGGAGCUACACAAGAUGUGCUGCCGAAUGUCUGUUAAGCGAAUAUCGUUUCUGGCCCGAACCAUACUGACCACAGCCAGCACUCGCUGGUCAGUCAAAACAACAUGGACGAACAAUGAGGGCCUCUAGUGGCCGAAACACAAAACAGCAAGUCUGGGAUCCUGACACUGUGUGGAAAUCAAGAUCACUGUUUGAGAGUUAUAGAUCCACGCCCUUCCAUUUUGGGUGCAUACAGGAAAAAAAAAGUAAAACCUUGGGAUGUGGGAUUUCUUUGUGACAUGCCUAUUAAAAAUCUCAAUUUGAGUGAAGUCUAGUGUUGUUCAGAGAACUUGUGUGAUAGGGUGUGAAGUCUGGAUCAAGCUGGAGCAGCAAUUUACUGUUGCUGAUGUAUUACCUAAUAUUGUCAAAAAUAUAUAUUUUCCCCAUAAACUAUAUAACUUACUCUUUGGAUUUGAGCUUGUCUUAAAUGAAGCUUUUAACAAUGAAAUGAGGCUGGUACUUAAUUUAUAUUUACUUGCAGAAGUAAUACAGCCUUGGAAGAAGCUUCCUUUUGGUUGAUGAUGUAAGUGAAAGUGCAUAACUGUAAAUUCCUUUUGUAUAUUUGUUUAACAUGUGACAUUGUUGUAAAAUAUUAAUUUUAUCAUUCACACCAGCUGCUUUUCAUUACCAGAGAGCUGCCAAGAAGGCAAACUAUGAAUAAAAUGUUGU